CACGUAGGGCGCAAGCGUUGUCCGGAAUUAUUGGGCGUAAAGAGCUCGUAGGUGGUUUGUUACGUCUGCUGUGAAAACCUAGGGCUUAACCCUGGGCUUGCAGUGGAUACGGGCAGGCUAGAGUCAGGUAGGGGAGAACGGAAUUCCUGGUGUAGCGGUGAAAUGCGCAGAUAUCAGGAGGAACACCGGUGGCGAAGGCGGUUCUCUGGGCCUGUACUGACGCUGAGGAACGAAAGCGUGGGGAGCGAACAGG
rnacentral:rRNA from 1 species